rnacentral:misc_RNA from 1 species
GAAACGCGAUAGUUAAUGUGAAUUGCAGAAUUCAGUGAAUCAUCGAGUCUUUGAACGCACAUUGCGCCCAUAGGUAUUCCUUUGGGCAUGUCGGUUUGAGCGUCAUUACAACCCUCAGCUAACCGCUGGUUUUGAACCUGAACGGGUGACACCGCGCCGGUUUUAAAGUUGUAAGCUCUGCUGGCCGCUCUGCCCAACCAGAACAUAGUAAGCACUACUUGUCCGGGUGAAGCUGAACGGUACGGCCUGAACAAAACCUACCCACUCUCAAGGUUUGACCUCAGAUCAGACAAGGAUACCCGCUGAACUUAAGC